rfam:Picea glauca, whole genome shotgun sequence.
GGGGGCGAUCAUAUCAGUGUUAAUGCACAGGAUCCCAUCAGAACUCAGCAGUUAAGCACGCUUGGGCUAGAGUAGUACUGGGAUGGGUCACCCCUCGAGAAGUCCUAGUGUUGCACCCU